rnacentral:rRNA from 1 species
GACGAACGCUGGCGGCGUGCCUAAUACAUGCAAGUUGAGCGCUGAAGGUUGGUACUUGUCCCAACUGGAUGAGCAGCGAACGGGUGAGUAACGCGUGGGGAAUCUGCCUUUGAGCGGGGGACAACAUUUGGAAACGAAUGCUAAUACCGCAUAAAAACUUUAAACACAAGUUUUAAGUUUGAAAGAUGCAAUUGCAUCACUCAAAGAUGAUCCCGCGUUGUAUUAGCUAGUUGGUGAGGUAAAAGCUCACCAAGGCGAUGAUACAUAGCCGACCUGAGAGGGGGAUAGCCGACAGUGGGACGGGGACGGGGCCAAAACGCCUAGGGGAGGAACCAGAAGGGAAUGUGCGGCAAUGGAGGAAAGUCUGACAGAGUAGCGCGGAGUGAGGGAAGAGGUUUUUCGGAUCGUAAAAACCGGUUGCGGGAGAAGAACGGGGGUGAGAGGGGAAGACGCAUCAAGUGACGGUAACUACCCAAAAAGGGACGGCUAACUACGUG